GAUGAACGCUGGCGGCGUGCCUAAUACAUGCAAGUCGAGCGAACGGACGAGAAGCUUGCUUCUCUGAUGUUAGCGGCGGACGGGUGAGUAACACGUGGAUAACCUACCUAUAAGACUGGGAUAACUUCGGGAAACCGUAGCUAAUACCGGAUAAUAUUUUGAACCGCAUGGUUCAAAAGUGAAAGACGGUCUUGCUGUCACUUAUAGAUGGAUCCACGCUGCAUUAGCUAGUUGGUAAGGUAACGGCUUACCAAGGCAACGAUGCAUAGCCGACCUGAGAGGGUGAUCGGCCACACUGGAACUGAGACACGGUCCAGACUCCUACGGGAGGCAGCAGUAGGGAAUCUUCCGCAAUGGGCGAAAGCCUGACGGAGCAACGCCGCGUGAGUGAUGAAGGUCUUCGGAUCGUAAAACUCUGUUAUUAGGGAAGAACAUAUGUGUAAGUAACUGUGCACAUCUUGACGGUACCUAAUCAGAAAGCCACGGCUAACUACGUG
rnacentral:rRNA from 1 species